rnacentral:rRNA from 1 species
AGGAAAUAGAUACCCGGGUAGUCCACGCCCUAAACGAUGUCUACUAGUUGUUGGUGGAGUAAAAUCCAUUAGUAAACGCAGCUAAACGCGUGAAGUAGACCGCCUGGGGAGUACGGUCGCAAGAUUAAAACUCAAAGGAAUUGACGGGGCCGCACAGGCGGUGGAUUAUGUGGAUUAAUUCGAUGCAACGCGAAAAACCUUAACCUGGCCUUGACAUGCCACUAACGAAGCAGAGAUGCAUUAGGUGCCCGAAACGGGAAAGUGGACACAGGUGCUGCAUGGCUGUCGUCAGCUCGUGUCGUGAGAUGUUGGGUUAAGUCCCGCAACGAGCGCAACCCUUGCCAAUAAUUGCCAUCAUUCAGUUGGGCAC